rnacentral:rRNA from 1 species
UACGUAGGUGGCAAGCGUUGUCCGGAUUUACUGGGCGUAAAGAGCGCGCAGGCGGUCGUCCAAGUCGCGUGUGAAAGCCCCCGGCUCAACUGGGGAGGGUCACGCGAUACUGAUCGACUCGAAGGCAGGAGAGGGAAGUGGAAUUCCCGGUGUAGUGGUGAAAUGCGUAGAUAUCGGGAGGAACACCAGUGGCGAAGGCGAGUCCCUGGACAACACCUGACACUGAGGCACGAAAGCUAGGGGAGCAAACAGG